rnacentral:tRNA from 1 species
GCCUGGCCGGCUCAGUCGGUAGAGCACGUGACUCUUGAUCUCGGGGUCACAAGUUCGAGCCCCGUGUUGGGUG